UACGGGGGGGAGCAAGCGUUGUUCGGAUUUACUGGGCGUAAAGGGCGCGUAGGCGGCGCAACAAGUCACUUGUGAAAUCUCCGGGCUUAACCCCGGAGCGGCCAAGUGAUACUGUCGUGCUAGAGUGCGGAAGGGGCUACUGGAAUUCUCGGUGUAGCGGUGAAAUGCGUAGAUAUCGAGAGGAACACCUGCGGCGAAGGCGGGUAGCUGGGCCGACACUGACGCUGAGGCGCGAAAGCCAGGGGAGCAAACGGG
rnacentral:rRNA from 1 species